rnacentral:rRNA from 1 species
GGGCCCGCACAAGCGGUGGAGCAUGUGGUUUAAUUCGAUGAUACGCGAGGAACCUUACCAGGGCUUAAAUGCAGAAUGACAGAUUGGGAAACCAGUCCUUCUUCGGACAUUUUUGCAAGGUGCUGCAUGGUUGUCGUCAGCUCGUGCCGUGAGGUGUCAGGUUAAGUCCUAUAACGAGCGCAACCCCUAUUCUUAGUUGCCAGCGGGUAAUGCCGGGAACUCUAAGGGAGACUGCCAGCGCAAGCUGCGAGGAAGGUGGGGAUGACGUCAAAUCAUCACGGCCCUUACGUCCUGGCUACACACGUGCUACAAUGGAUGGUACAAUGGGCAGCCACUACGCGAGUAGGAGCU